GGUAAGGUGGCCGAGUAGGCAUUAGGCUGUAAAUCUAAUUACGGGGGUUUGAGUCCCUUUCUUACCA
rnacentral:tRNA from 1 species